UUCUAUGUUAGUGAGUUGUUACAGCUUUUAUUUUUUUAUUUAUUUUUUUUUUUUUGGUGCAGGGGGGAGGCAUGAAACAAAGCCAAGAAACACAUUAUCGUACCCUCUAGUGAAUGAAGACACUUGGUUCAGGUGCCUGUUUGAUCUACUGCAUGCCUUUGCAAGGAAAACAUUCACGAUAUGCUGCCACAGUUUCAUCUGGAUUUCCCUGGGCCCAGGAGCAUGCUUCCAUUUUCUGUGGAUCACUAUGUUCCUUGUACAGUUAAUUGUGUGUUUAUAUGGAAAAAAUGUUUAAAAAAAAAGGAAAAAAAAAGUAACUAAAUAACUAAAUACAACCAUAAGCCUUCUUGCUUGUCCUUAUUAUUUUUUCCUCAGAAUAGAAGAGAUAUAAAAAAAGAUUACCUCUUUGAUGAUAUCUUUAAUUAGUCAUUUCUCAAAUAAAUUUGAGAAAGUAUUUCA
rnacentral:lncRNA from 1 species